rnacentral:rRNA from 1 species
CCUAACACAUGCAAGUCGAACGAUGAAGGGGGAGCUUGCUCCUCUGGAUUAGUGGCGAACGGGUGAGUAACACGUGAGCAAUCUGCCCCUGACUCUGGGAUAAGCGCUGGAAACGGCGUCUAAUACCGGAUACGAGCCGAGCAGGCAUCUGCAUCGGUUGGAAAGAACUUCGGUCAGGGAUGAGCUCGCGGCCUAUCAGCUAGUUGGUGAGGUAAUGGCUCACCAAGGCGACGACGGGUAGCCGGCCUGAGAGGGUGACCGGCCACACUGGGACUGAGACACGGCCCAGACUCCUACGGGAGGCAGCAGUGGGGAAUAUUGCACAAUGGGCGCAAGCCUGAUGCAGCAACGCCGCGUGAGGGACGAAGGCCUUCGGGUUGUAAACCUCUUUUAGCAGGGAAGAAGCGAGAGUGACGGUACCUGCAGAAAAAGCACCGGCUAACUACGUGCCAGCAGCCGCGGUAAU